rnacentral:rRNA from 1 species
GAGGCUCCGUAAUUGGAAUGAGUACACUUUAAACCCUUUAACGAUCUAUUGGAGGGCAAGUCUGAGUGCCAGCAGCCGCGGUAAUUCCAGCUCCAAUAGCGUAUACUAAAGUUGUUGCGAUUAAAAAGCUCGUAGUUGGAUCUCANGCAUGGGCGCACNGUCCGACUCGCGGCGGUCACUGUGUGAAUUGUUUCCCAUCCUACGCUUCCCGGUUGUUCAGCCCAUGGUGCUCUUCAUUGAGCGUUUUGGGUGGCCGGAACGUUUACUUUGAAGAAAUUAGAGUGUUCAAAGCAGGCACGUCGCCUGAAUAAUGGGUGCAUGGAAUAAUGGAAUAGGACCUCGGUUCUAUUUUGCUGGUUUUCGGAACACGAGGUAAUGAUUAAGAGGGACAGACGGGGGCAUCCGUAUUGCGGUGUUAGAGGUGAAAUUCUUGGAUCAUCGCAAGACGAACAACUGCGAAAGCAUUUGCCAAGCAUGUUUUCAUUAGUCAAGAACGAAAGUCAGAGGUUNGAAGACGAUCAGAUACCGUCGUAGUUCUGACCAUAAACGAUGCCAACUAGCGAUUCGCUGGUGUUGCUUCAUCGACUCUGCGGGCAGCUUCCGGGAAACCAAAGUUUUCGGGUUCCGGGGGAAGUAUGGUUGCAAAGCUGAAACUUAAAGGAAUUGACGGAAGGGCACCACCAGGAGGGGAGCCUGCGGCUUAAUUUGACUCAACACGGGAAAACUCACCCGUCC